UGUUUGGGUUCUGUAUUUUUAAAUUCAUCGUUUUGAAAUAUUGGAUCACCCCCAAAAAAAGUCGCAUGGAAUGUCCCUACCCGCGGCAUGGUCUUAUGGUAUGGGGGACAAAGGGGAGGAUUCUCGAACAAAGGAUUCCCCCCCCCCUUCACCACCCCCACAUCUGAAUUGAUUUUAAUUGAAAUUACAGUAUUGUUUGCCUGUCAUUGGCAUUUUCUACCCCAGAAAAUCUUGGAUUGACGUAAGAAUGCAAUCGAUCGGCUUUUUCAACAACUAAUAUCAACCGUCUAAUUGUUACCCUUGAAAAGAUACAUAAUCGUCAAAAACCAAUUGAUAGGAAUAUGACCCUUUUAAUUCUUUGUUGAGAUUGCGAUAUCUGACCGCAUUGGAAAACAAUUGCAUGGAAACUGCAACUGCCUUUUGGAGUAAGAAACAUUGCAUAAUAUUUAAAAAAAAUAGUUGGUUUGCCGAAGGACGAAUGGAAGGAUGCUGCCCGUCUAUUGAAAACAUAUGCUUCAAUUAAACAUGAAAAUUUUGUAACAAAUCUAUUCAUACAUUAUGGAAAUGCGGCCAUUUCAUUUACUCUUUCAUCGUCUGGGCAUGUGGCAGUUCAAAGACCCUGUUGUUGAGUUAGCCAAUGCCGCCCAUGCGGAAGAAAAGGUGAUUUUACUACACCCCAGUUUACCCCACCCGAGGGACUCGUUGGACCAGUCGCUUUGGUAAAUCUCGAGGGAGCUAUUAUAACACACCGGCUUUGACCAGGGACUCGGAACCUAGGGAAGCUGUUACUUCACACGGCGACUGUACACGGCGACUGUACACGGCAGAGUGAGUCAGACGAAGAAUUCAACAAUGUUGUAAUGCCAAAAAUAUCUGAUACCAUGGAAACUAUUGAAAGGCGCUCUAGGAAAAAGAAACAGAUAAAUAUAAAUUAGGAGUGAAAUUGAUUAACACAAAUAUUUAAAAAAAACGAGCAGCAAUUUAGUACAACAUACAUCUUAAUUUAUAAUAUUUACGAACAUAACGUUUAGAACUACUUAAAUAAUGGACAUUUUUUUGUGUUCCUAGGCUGGUUUGGGGUUACUAAUGCUAAAAAAAUUCAAAGAAAAAAUUUUAGUUCAAGAAAAGUUAUUGACGAUACUAAAUGUAAAAUAUUUACAACCCUACAUGACAAUUUUUUUUGUGAAGUAUGUAGGAUUAUGAAAUACAAAAAAAAAAAAAUAAAUGUCAUCAAUUUACCUUUUAUACCUUUGCCUCUUCGUAUUUUUGAGUGUGGAAGUAAAUAAAAGCUCACCAUUUUGCGACACAUUUGUUGUAAAUUUGUUUUGGAAAGAAAAACUUAGAAAGACCCUCAAACUUUAACCGACGAAAAAUUGCCUGCGUCCAAUGGAACGUGCAGCCAUGGAACGAGACCUUUUUAAACACUAAUCGCAUCCCAUUCCAUAUUCCUUUCUCAAAAUCUGAAACGAUUUCUUU